rfam:Leersia perrieri chromosome 1, whole genome shotgun sequence.
GAAGAAGAAGACGAGCUCCCUUCGAUCCAAUCCACGGGAGGAAGUGGUAGGAUGCAGCUGCCGGUUCAUGGAUACCUCUGCAGUGCAUGGCAUCGUAGUGCUAGACUGCUAGUAAUGUAGCCUGCACUCGCAUGGGUUUGCAUGACCCGGGAGAUGAACCCACCAUUGCCUUCCUCUCAUGCUUGGAUUGAAGGGAGCUCUACACCUCUCUCUC